GACGAACGCUGGCGGCGUGCCUAAUACAUGCAAGUCGAACGCAGUGGGGACAGGUGAGUAACAAGUGGGUAACCUCCCAUCAGAGGGGAGAACACUUGGAAAAAGGUGCUAAAACGAUACUGAUGGAUGGACUCGCGGUGGUUUAGCUAGUUGGUGAGGUAACGUCUCACCAAGGCCACGAUGCAUAGCUGAGCUGAGAGGGUGAUCGGCCACACUGGGACUGAGACACGGCCCAGACUCCUACGUGAGGCAGCAGUAGGGAAUCGUCGGCAAUGGACGAAAGUCUGACCGAGCAACGCCGCGUGAGUGAAGAAGGUUUUCGGAUCGUAAAACUCUGUUGUUAGAGAGGCGGUAUCUAACCAGAAAGCCACGGCUAACUACGUGCCAGCAGCCGCGGUAAUAC
rnacentral:rRNA from 1 species